ACAGUGGAUGCGAGCAUCUUUGUAGCAAGUUAGUAAGGGCAUACGGUGGAUGUCUUGGCACCAGGAGCCGAUGAAG
rnacentral:rRNA from 1 species